rnacentral:rRNA from 1 species
CCCUUAGACGUUCUGGGCCGCACGCGCGCUACACUGACGAAGGCAACGAGCUACUCUUCACCGAAAGGUGUGGGUAAUCUUUUGAAACUUCGUCGUGCUGGGGAUAGAUCCUUGCAAUUUUUGAUCUUAAACGAGGAAUUCCUAGUAAGCGCAAGUCAUCAACUUGUGUUGAUUACGUCCCUGCCCUUUGUACACACCGCCCGUCGCUACUACCGAUUGAAUGGUUUAGUGAGGCCUUCGGAUCCGCGAUUUUAUUGUGGAGAAGUUGGACAAACUCAGUCAUUUAGAGGAAGUAAAAGUCGUAACA